rnacentral:lncRNA from 1 species
AACAGACUCACACGUAAAAGCAAGCGCGGCACCGCCCUAGUGUCCUCUCUAUUGCGGCCUCCGCCUGGAUCUGACUGGAUCCUCAGCCCACUGCCGCUUCGAUCCGGAAGCGAAUUCCUCUCGUUUCUUCUGCCUUGCGUCGGUAAGUAACCUAGCCUGAAAUCUGCAUCGAUUUCUCUUGUUCUAAGCCAGCCUAGCCCAGCUCUUGUUCGAUGUCCAAUCCAGACCCUUGUUCUAGGUUUUGGGGCGGAUUGAUGGCCGCAUGCAGCCAGGAUGUGGACCCGGCCAUCCUGGAUGCCUCGUGCCUGCGUGGCGGCGCCACUGCCGGCUGGAGUUGUAGUAUGAGUGGAGGGGAAUCGGCUUCAGCGCCUUUGAGGAGCAAAUGCACAGAGCCGCGCCUUAGCCUACAAUAUCUGCCACUCAUUCUACAUGGGACACACAGGAUUGUCUGAAACCAAAACUCACACAGACUUGGUAGUCAUCAGGAGAGACAGAGGAAUAGCAGCAGCGAUGGCACUAGGCACUCUCCAGCCUCAAGUUUUUCACACAAAAUAUUUGAUGCUAAAGAUCAGGUUGUUAGUUUGCUGGUCAUUCGGCUCUCACUUAGCUCACUGGUGUUCGAAAAAUCUAACAAUAUGCACUGAAAAACCUGACAUGACUCAAUUCGCUGCCCUUUUUUCUGAUGGCCUUCAUUGGCACAAACAAAUUUGCAAGAGGUUACCUUACCAUCAAAUUUGCUCACAUUGUUGUACCUUUUCCUCACAUCAAAGCCAGCACGACCACCAUAUGCUCUCCAAAAUAGCCAAGCCUCUGAACCUUUAAAUAACAUGCCAACUUGAGGCAUCCCCUUUACAGAUUGUGCCAUUGCACACCAACAAAUUUAUCUGCCAUACAUGUAUAAUCAGUUGAUCAAAUUGCAGAACAAUAACAAAUUUUGUAGAUGGAAAGUUGAAAGAUUACUACUAAAGAAAGAGUUACUACACAUUGCACAGCCUUAUAUUGUGUACUGUGCAUACUGAUCAUAGAAAUUUUACUACUGGUGAAAGAACACUACAAAUUGCACAGCCUUGUGCCGUCGAACUACUAAAAGUCACAUUAGAACUGACCAUCUGAACUUAUAGCUGCACUUGCCGAUGUGUGUGUGUGUGUGCGUGAAUUCAGAAUGCAUGAAAUCUGUAGAAGUCAUGGUCACUUUGAGCUUGCCAGUGUGUGGGUUGGUCGUUUGGUGGUAGCAGGGGCAUAUCUGACGGGUGUCUGUUCUGACUGGUGCCUCGAGGGACGCAGAUGCAACGCUUGCAGGAACUAAAAUCGGAAUUACCUCUGGCUGGCAGUGGCUGCAGAUUCAUAGCGAAAUCGAGGGGAAGUUUGGGCGGACUGCCAUCCACCGGUGCGGCACGACCAUCAUCCCUCGCCUCUGUGACGGCACGACCUUCACCCCUCGCCGUGGCACCUGCUCGCUCUCUAGUGGAUGCGGUGCGAGGCCCUGCUCCCUCUCCUCUGUGGGGGAGCGGCUCUCUCUCUCACGGCGGCAUGACACGGCUUGACUCCGUCUCUCUCCUCGGUGAGCUCGCUUGUCAAACCCUCACCUCCGUCGAGCGGCUCAGGAGAACUCGAUCCCACCCGCGUGCAAAAACACCUCGCCCCGCCUCUGUCUCUCCUGAAAACUACCAAGUCUGGGUGUAUUUUGGUUUCAGUCAAUCCCGUGCAUAUGAUGUAGAAUUGAGUGGCAGAUAUUGUAGGCUAAGGCGCUCUGUGCCUUGGCUCUUCAAAGGCACUGAAGCCGAGUCCAGUAGGAGUAUAUGUUAUGUUCAUCUCAGAGUCCAGUAGUGUCAUGCACCUUUCUGGCCUGCAUCUUUCAGUUCAGUUCAAGUGUCAUUUUCUUCAGAUAACUCUUCCGUGAUCGAACAAAUGAAUGAUUGUGUAGCUGAAACAACAUCUUACAGCAGGCACAAAACAGAAUGAAGAGGGUCUACUUAAAGAUGGAACCUCAUCGUAUGGCCGAUUUUGGAUGUCGCGGAGCAAUCAAAUUACAACACAAAUACUAGUCAACGCGACCGGCACGAUGGUAUUAACCCAAGACGGCCGCGUCCUUGUCUGCAGAUCACCCUCCAGAGACGGGACCGCCUUGGGUUAAUAAAUCCAUUAGUACUUCAUGAACUAGCAGCAAACGAACUGUAAAUAAACAGGGGAUCCACUGCACCUGCCAAUGCACUGGAUGCAACAGAGGGCCGGGAGCCAGUAGGGCGGCGCGGCGUGUGGCUGCGCGUAUCUCCGGCGCGGGAUCUGCACUAGCUGGCCGUGCCGCCGGGAGAAGAUGCGGGCAGUUGUGGAUGCGGGAGGAGGCACCUCGGGCAGGAGGGAGUGGGCCAGCGGUGAGGAGGACCCUAGUAUUUGUGUUGUAAUUUGAUUGCUCCGCGACAUCCAAAAUCGGCCAUACGAUGAGGUUCCAUCUUUAAGUAGACCCUUUUUAUUCUGUUUUGUCCCUGCUGUAAGAUGUUGUUUCAGCUGCUCAUUCAUUCAUUUGUUCGAUCACGGAAGAGUUAUCUGAAGAAAAUGACACCUGAACUGAAUAGAACUAAAAGAUGCAGGCCAGAAAGGUGCAUGACACUACUCAAGACUGGGAAACAAAAACUGCUUUGAGAUUGGGAAAGGCACGUGGCGUCCUCUCUUCCAGUUCCAGAGAGGAUGAAGAGAUAGAGUCGGUCGGUCCGUUGGGGACUGGAUCGAUACGCAACAUACUCACGACGUAAAAGCGCUCCGCCGCCCAAGUCCUCCGUGUACUGCAGCCUCUGCCUCGCUGUGGCUUGGAUCCGCUGCCGUCGUUGCUGUUGACGCCGAUUUCAGCCGAAGUAAAACAUAGUGCUUAGAUAUUAUGCAAAUAAAAUAAUUUACAUAAAAUAAUCAAAUAAGAUAGUGAAUCACCGAAUACACGAAAAAAGGAUACAAUGAUGAAUUUUUGCCGCGCGUCUCAACAUAAAAUAACAAUAACAAAAAAAGAGACAUAUUAUCGUACAAACUACAUGACAUAUGACUUUCAUAUACAUAAGCCAUCAUCAACGGCUAAAUUCCAACGUUGACCUAGAUGCAAACAUCACCAAAAUGUUAUUUAUGAACAUUAUUCUGUCACCGCUAAAAGAAAUAUUGCACAAUAAUGUUUGUAUAAAAUAAUAUAGCGUACGAUGAUGUACGAGGGAAAAUAUCAAACCAUCAUAUAAUUAUCAGUAGAAGAAAUGCUUUUCCAUAUUACAACAACUAAUUUGGUCUAGCUAGCCCAAUCAUACAAAUGGCUACGUACAUAUAUGGUGCAAUUACAAGCUACGUGCAUGCAUGUAUUAUGCAUGGAUUAAUUAUGCGACAAGAUUAGGAACUAAUGAAGUAAUUAUCUAGCCCAUGCCCAAACGCAUACGCCCAUAUAGCAACAUCAUACGUAAUGGACGUCCUCCUCCCAUGCUUAGGCGUGCAUGCAUGGAUCAGGCUCCAAUUAUAUCAAAGGCCCACAGGUGAGCACCACAGGAGGGUGCGCACAAGAAAAAAAGACCACAACUUAAUUAAGCCCAUGUCAGAUGAUGGGACGUUGUCGGUCAAUUAUGAAUUAAAGAAAUAAAAGAAAGAAGGAAAGAGCAGCCAGCUCCACGGUCUCACACGAUCGCAUGAUCGAGGAUUGUGGGCACGCGCCACAAUGUCCCGCUGCUCGCCCGCUUGUUACAAAUAGCUGCUCGUUCAGCGUAGAGAGGGGCUCGCUGAUCCAUCUCACGUUCAUUCAGUCCAUCGCUGCUUUCAUCCAUCCAGCCACUGCUUCCAUACACAUCAGCCCAUCGUCAAGCACAUCAUCCAUCAUCGCUUCAUCGUAGUCGGCCGUCCGCUCGCCAUCGUCGCCACCGGCCGUUCGCUUGCCGCCGUCGUCAUCAUACGCUCGUCGUCGUCGCCGGCUGUUCGUCUCGUCGUCGUCGUCACUACGGUCAGCCGCUCGUCCGACUCUACCGCAAAGGUGAGAAACAAGGCAAGCUGAACUCCUUCCCCUACCACUCCGUACGUGGGAGAAAGAAAAGGUUGCGAGAUGAGAUGCAUUAAUCUUCGUAAUUAGCUCUUCCUUGAAAAACGUUGGACCAACGCAUGCAAUCCUCCUCCUCUUAAACUUAAUCCCAAUUAAUUGGAUAACAAUAUAUCUAGCAUGAGGAUUGGUUGCAUGUUAUAAAUUUACAUGCAUGGGUUAGCCAAACCGUGCUAGCUAUUAUUGUUCGAUUUAUUGCAGCAUUUUGGAAAGAGAGAUUUGGGUGGUGAUUGGCUUCCUUUAUGAUUCAAAUUAUUUGGCUAGCCCAAUCUCCUUGCGCCUAGAUUGCAGUGCUCCUCCUUAGUGCCCAAUACACCUGGACAGAGGAAGUAGUUCUGAUAACCCCCAUAGAAUCAGAGGAUGUAACAGCUUUGUACAGAUUUAGGUCCUGCAUCAAACACAGCCCCUCAGGGCACGCCAUUGCCUCAACACAAACUGGAUCAUAAGCACUCUUCAUAGCCAACACCGAAGCCCUCAGGUAGGUACCAGCACCAGUGCGAAAAAUAGUUCCAGCCGAGCAUAUGUUGUUCUCAUAUGACAAUGCAGCAUCAAAUUACCUUUCACAACGCCCUGUGGAGGAGGGAUCCAACGCCCUGCGCCUUCUGCUGAAUCGAUCCAACCCAGCACAUGAAGAAAAUGUGUUAUAAACUUGCAUGUAUGAAAAGGGCUCUGAUAAACAUCUUCCUGUAUGAUAUCUCGCCUUGCCUUCCAGAUCGCCCACACGGUAGUAAUCAUCUUCACAUAAUCUGUUCUGGAUAGGAAUCACCCAUCUCGAACAACCAGGUUCCAGCAUUUGGCUCACUGGCACCGCAGCUCCUCAAUUUAUCAGAGUUCUUCAUCGACUAGUACCCAAACACAUCAAGCCAUUCUGCACUGUAGUAAUGAAUAUCUCCACUGAAUCCUCGCUCCAGCCACAAAUGCUGCAAACACUAGUCGGUGCCAUGUUCCUGUGGUGAGCAACAUCUGCAGUGGGUAAGCUUUGGCGCGCAAGCCUCCAAGAAAAGCCUUUAAUUUAGUGGGUAUUGUAUGCUUCCACAUUCUUGUCCAUGCUCUUUCAAAACAAAAAUUCAACUCAGACCCACAUACUCGCCCAUCCAGCGAGGCCUCACGACAAGUUUUGGUAUGCACAAGCAUCAUGUAGGUUGAUCAAACAGUGAAGCAGCCCUUCUUCUCAAACAACAAUGCCGUUUCAUCUUCUAAGUUGAUUGUUGGUAGCGGAAUCCGACAUACUAUGUCCACGUCCAUCGGCAACAUGUGCUUAGCUAGCACCUGGUCAUUCCAUGAAUGGGUUGCGUCAUCAGCGAGUUAAUUAACCAACUCUGGUCUUGCUUCUAACAAAGGUCCAAUCGGUCGCAUCAUCGACUCCCUCGGGAGCCAGCAAUUGUUCCACACCUCACGUCCUUCUAGAAUUGAUCUCCAAACUUGCGAAGGUUGUGAACCAAGUUGGGUUGACGAGAAAUCUGAAAUAAGGAAAUACCUUGCUUUUAAAAUCUGUGCACUCAAAGUGUUUGGCUUUUGUAACACCCAAUGUCCUUCCCUGGACCAAACGUAUGGCUGUUGUACGAGUGGGACGACCCACCUACUCAAUCCUUGGAGCAAGAAGGACGGGUGUACCGUAAGGUAAGAUGAAGAGCAGGAAGAAGAAACUGAAAAUUUCUCCUCUGUCUCUGUUCGUCUCCUUCAGGUCCGUUUGCUCUCCGUCAGGUCCGGUUGCUCUCCACAAGCAAUCCUUAUCUUCUCACGUCACGGCAAUAGCCGGCGGCAAUGGGAGGUGACACCUUUGAAGUGCCAACGUAAUUUCAAAUCAUUUGUGUAUGGUAUUACUUUUUUUUUAUGGAAAAUCGUUUAUGUGCAGUUGGUGAACCAAACAACACCAAAAGGCAUCCAGCUAUAUGUUGUGUUUAUGUUCUUCUUUGUGUUUUUGUGCAGCUAUUGGAGAUCGGUUAACAUCAAUUGAUACUCUUAUAUACUGAGCAAUAUCUUGGGUCAUGUGUCUCAUGCCCGCCCCCGCUUGCAAAGACGGAGCUAUGGCCGAUGUUCCAACUCCAAAUGUAGUUGCGCAUAUGAUUACAUUGACCACCUUGACCGCAAGCAACAGCUAGUAAUUUGCGCAAGUGCCCUUGGCUAUAUGUUUGCAAUGAGCGUUUUCUGCUUGACUGUGUUGUACACUCCAGUCACGAAUACCACAGCCAACGUGGCCCAAGGACCCGGGGACAUCUUCGUCCGACUUGUAGGCCAAAGAGGGGUCGAUCCCCGCGCCUCUCUGCCGACUUCACCGGCUUUCAACCUUGCCUUGGACUUUUAUCGGACACAACCAACCUACCGGCGCUGCAGCGGAGGCGGCAACUCAUUGCUGCGCGUCUCAGGUGCCGUAUUUUUGCGUCUAUGGCGACCGGAGCAUUGGCAGUGUUGGUACCUUGGAGGUGGAGGCCAAGGCAAACGCCUGCAUGCUGCGACAGGAGGUGCGCAACUUGCUUCGGAGCGAGAUUCAGGUCGUGGGCAAGGUUGAGUUCGCCGUGGAUGGAGAGGUGGCGGGCCUAGGGUAUCUUCACUGCAAGUUUUUCAUCAUGAAGGAUCAGGCUGUGGAUGUGUCCAAGAGCCUGUGCAUCUUCGGUCAAUAGGGUGGACCUAUGUGUUCUAAUAAGGGUGUUAUAUAUUCUCAUUUCGGUCACUGGGCUGCAUUUACUUUUGUAAUAGCUGCUAUAUUCUGCUUUGAAAUAAAACAAACAAUUUCAGCUGCAUAUUUUUUUCCAGUGGUUAUUUUCUUCAGAUAAUGCUAGCUCAAUCCUCCGUGCAAAAGCCUGACGGAAAGUUUCGCCAUACUAUGUAGGCUUCAGACUUCCAUAACACCUAGUAGCUCACUUUGGAACUGGAAGCUUGGUCAGCUGGAAGGAAGGUUACUUUACUCAGCUGUUGGACUGAUCAAGGGGACUUGCUUUGACUAUAUACAUUGGGCUUCUCUGCUAAUUUUGCUAGUCUAAUUGAUGAUAAGGCUGUACACCUGAAGCUUCACUUAGUUUUAUUCAGUUACAAGCUAGUCUAGGUUGGACCUAUGCCUUCUGAUAAGGGUGUUAUAUAUUCAACCUACUUUAACUGGAUUAAAUUUUCUUUUGUAAUAGCUGCUAUAUUCUGAUUUGAAAUAAAACAAACAACUCUAGCUGCUUUGAAAUUCUAUGCCCCCUUUUUUUCUUAGUUUUUGUAACUUAUAAGUACUUAACACCAUCCUUUAUUAUCAUCUGACAUAUGGAAGCAUUUGUGUUGUUUUUAAAGAUUUGUACCGAUGCCUUGAGCCAAACAAAGGAGUGCAACAGUGCAUAUAUAAGGGCAACUCCAACGGGUCGACCUAAACGGACGGCGAUUUUGUCCGCUUUUCGUUUAUUUGGAUCGUUCGUCGAUCUGUUCGUGUUCGCUUUUUUGAAUGGGUCAGCACAUGCACCCAACGGGAAACAAAUUGGUUCUAAAACUGUG